UACAGAGGUCCCAAGCGUUGUUCGGAUUCAUUGGGCGUAAAGGGUGCGUAGGCGGCGCGGUAAGUCGGGUGUGAAAUCUCGGGGCUUAACUCCGAAACUGCAUUCGAUACUGCCGUGCUUGAGGACUGGAGAGGAGACUGGAAUUUACGGUGUAGCGGUGAAAUGCGUAGAUAUCGUAAGGAAGACCAGUGGCGAAGGCGGGUCUCUGGACAGUUCCUGACGCUGAGGCACGAAGGCGAGGGGAGCAAACGGG
rnacentral:rRNA from 1 species